UGCAGAUCCUCCUGCCUCAGCCUUCGGAGUGGUGGGAUUACAGAUUCGCUGUAAGGUCUCUGACGUGGCUUCCUUGAUAGACAUGCAAGCUGUUUCCUGACUGAGAUGUGCUGUGUGACCGAGCCAUAGUCCUGUGGCAUCUGUGACUGCUGUACCACAAAAAGGGCUGUGACCGUCUCAUCCCACGCUUGUGUACCAUGUUCGUCUGAGCUUGUAAGUUGCAUUCUCCAACAUUCACUUCCAGAGAGUAAUGAUCAGGUUUUCUACCUUCUUUACUCUCUUGUCUAAUUUUUUUGUUUUGUUUUUUGAGAAGGAUCUCACCAUGUGUGGCUGGCCUCAAACUUGCAGCGAUCCUCCUGCCUCAGCCUCCCGAGUGCUGGGAUUACAGGCGUGAGCCACCACGCCCGGCUUCUUCUAAUUUUUGUCCUUACUUUACAGUUGCGAAGUCUGCGCCAGUGAGAAAGUAGCACUCACUGCAGGCUUUUCCAACACAAAAUCUUCAUGUAGGACAUUGGUUACCCAGGGGCACCAGGACCUAUUGUGGUGCAGCUUGCCCAGAACUUAGUGGCCGCAAACAGUAGUAUUUCAGGGUUUUGGCAGGUCCAGAAUUUGGGAGCGACUUGGCUGAGCAGCUCUGAUAUAGCAUGUCUCUGGGUAUUGCAGUCAAGAUACAGGCUGGUGUUGGGUGUAUAUCUGUACAUCCAGCACUUGGGAGGCUGAGGCAAGAGGAUCGCCAAGAGUUCAAGGCCAGCCUGGACUACAGAGUGAGACUCUGUCUCAAAAUCGAGACGAUAACAUCAACAACAUGUAGGCUGGAGUUUUCUGAAGUGGGAUUGGCGUUGGCGAACCCCCUUCCAAGCGUGUGUACUGGCACAGCCCUUGGGGAGAGAAGCCUGUUUCUUGCCACGGGGGAUUCUCACCGAGCUGCUGGGAGCCCUCACGACAUGCCGGACGGACAGCCGGCUCCCCCAGCAGAAGGGACUCAAGAGAACAGGUCUGCUUGGGCACUCGCACCGCACACCUGUCUGCUAGAAGUGAGUUGCAAGCUCGGCUGCCUCCUCUUCGAGGGGGGGAGAACUGGGCUCCCCACCUUCGGACGAAGAGCGAAGGCCACACGAGCUAUAGGUACUUCUCACAGCCGUCACCGUAGGUGAUGAGAGCUGAAGAGCCGGGCGGGCUGCGAGGAUUUCCGGGAGACUCAGGGUAGCAGAGAUGCACGAACUCAGGGCGGGGGUGCGGGUGGGGACGAAGGAAGGAAGUGGGGUCCCCGGAGCCCAAGGGCCAGGAGACGCAGGGGAAGGCGGGAACUGGAGCCUGCAGGAUGCAGUGACUAGGAAGGUGCUUUCCACGGGAGAGGAGACAAACGCUGGUAUUCUCCUAAAUUACAGCCGCCAGCGCCUGCAAUUGGCUAGGUCUUCCCGGAGGCAGGACGCAAGGGAAUCUGGGAAAUGUAGUUCCUGCGACGCAGGACAGGUUUGGAGGACUGAGAGCAAAUGGAGAAAGGAGGACGAGUUUAGGCUCCACCCCUGGAGCGGGUGGGAUUGGGUGAUGAUAUUACGGCUCAAUGAGCUUGGUGCGGCGGCAGGCGUCUGCGAUCCUAGCGCUCUGGAGGCGGAGCAAGGGGGACUGAGGUGCAAGUCGGAGCCCAGCCUGGGCUGUGCACCAAUUUACUGAGUCCGUGUCUCAACAAACAAACAAAAACCAAGGGCUUGAAUUUGGCCUAUUCUAAUAUCUUAAAAUUGCUCUCAACAGGUUGAAAGAAGGGUAGGGGAAGCGGGGGGAAACAAGUUAAAAAUAAAGUCUUUUGGGCUGGGAACGUGGCUCAGUAGUAGAGUU